rnacentral:rRNA from 1 species
UACGAGAGGCCCAAAUGUUAUUCGGAAUUACUGGGCUUAAAGAGUUCGUAGGCGGCAUUGCACGUAGGGUGUGAAAGCCCUCGGCUCAACCGAGGAAUUGCGCUCUAAACUGCAGUGCUUGAGGAACCUAGAGGUGAGCAGAACAGAUGGUGGAGCGGUGAAAUGCGUUGAUAUCAUCUGGAAUACCGGAGGCGAAGGCGGCUCACUGGGAGUUUUCUGACGCUGAGGAACGAAAGCCAGGGUAGCGAACGGG